GGAUGAAGCCGUUAGGGUUGUAAAUUACUUNUGUCCGGAACGAAAAGGCUCGUUCUAAUACAGGGAGCUGAUGACGGUACCGUGAGAAUAAGCACCGGCUAACUACGUGCCAGCAGCCGCGGUAAUACGUAGGGUGCAAGCGUUAAUCGGAAUUACUGGGCGUAAAGCGUGCGCAGGCGGUUNGGCAAGACAGGGGUGAAAUCCCGGGGCUCAACCUCGGAACUGCCNUUGUGACUGCNGGGCUAGAGUAUGUCAGAGGGGGAUGGAAUUCCACGUGUAGCAGUGAAAUGCGUGGAUAUGNNNAGGAUCACCGAUGGUGAAGGCAGUCCGCUGG
rnacentral:rRNA from 1 species